rnacentral:rRNA from 1 species
UUAACACAUGCAAGUCGAACGAUGAUCCUUGGAGCUUGCUCUGGGGGGAUUAGUGGCGAACGGGUGAGUAACACGUGAGCAAUCUGCCCUUGACUCUGGGAUAAGCGCUGGAAACGGCGUCUAAUACUGGAUAUGACCCAUCACCGCAUGGUGUGUGGGUGGAAAGAUUUUUUGGUUGGGGAUGAGCUCGCGGCCUAUCAGCUUGUUGGUGAGGUAAUGGCUUACCAAGGCGACGACGGGUAGCCGGCCUGAGAGGGUGACCGGCCACACUGGGACUGAGACACGGCCCAGACUCCUACGGGAGGCAGCAGUGGGGAAUAUUGCACAAUGGGCGCAAGCCUGAUGCAGCAACGCCGCGUGGGGGAUGACGGCCUUCGGGUUGUAAACCUCUUUUGGCAGGGAAGAAGCCUUCGGGUGACGGUACCUGCAGAAGAAGCACCGGCUAACUACGUGCCAGCAGCCGCGGUAAUACGUAGGGUGCGAGCGUUGUCCGGAAUUAUUGGGCGUAAAGAGCUCGUAGGCGGUUUGUCGCGUCUGCUGUGAAAUCCCGAGGCUCAACCUCGGGUCUGCAGUGGGUACGGGCAGACUGGAGUGCGGUAGGGGAGAAUGGAACUCCUGGUGUAGCGGUGGAAUGCGCAGAUAUCAGGAAGAACACCGAUGGCGAAGGCAGUUCUCUGGGCCGUUACUGACGCUGAGGAGCGAAAGCGUGGGGAGCGAACAGGAUUAGAUACCCUGGUAGUCCACGCCGUAAACGUUGGGCGCUAGAUGUGGGGACCAUUCCACGGUUUCCGUGUCGCAGCUAACGCAUUAAGCGCCCCGCCUGGGGAGUACGGCCGCAAGGCUAAAACUCAAAGGAAUUGACGGGGGCCCGCACAAGCGGCGGAGCAUGCGGAUUAAUUCGAUGCAACGCGAAGAACCUUACCAAGGCUUGACAUACACCAGAACGCCUCAGAAAUGGGGAACUCUUUGGACACUGGUGGACAGGUGGUGCAUGGUUGUCGUCAGCUCGUGUCGUGAGAUGUUGGGUUAAGUCCCGCAACGAGCGCAACCCUCGUUCUAUGUUGCCAGCACGUGAUGGUGGGAACUCAUAGGAGACUGCCGGGGUCAACUCGGAGGAAGGUGGGGAUGACGUCAAAUCAUCAUGCCCCUUAUGUCUUGGGCUUCACGCAUGCUACAAUGGCCGGUACAAAGGGCUGCGAUGCCGUAAGGUGGAGCGAAUCCCAAAAAGCCGGUCUCAGUUCGGAUUGAGGUCUGCAACUCGACCUCAUGAAGUCGGAGUCGCUAGUAAUCGCAGAUCAGCAACGCUGCGGUGAAUACGUUCCCGGGCCUUGUACACACCGCCCGUCAAGUCAUGAAAGUCGGUAACACCCGAAGCCGGUGGCCCAACCCUUGUGGAGGGAGCCGUCGAAGGU